rnacentral:rRNA from 1 species
AUUGAACGCUGGCGGCAUGCCUUACACAUGCAAGUCGAACGGCAGCAUGGAGAGCUUGCUCUCUGAUGGCGAGUGGCGAACGGGUGAGUAAUGCAUCGGAACGUACCGUGUAAUGGGGGAUAACGUAGCGAAAGUUACGCUAAUACCGCAUACGACCUGAGGGUGAAAGCAGGGGAUCGCAAGACCUUGCGUUAUACGAGCGGCCGAUGUCAGAUUAGCUAGUUGGUGAGGUAAAGGCUCACCAAGGCGACGAUCUGUAGCGGGUCUGAGAGGAUGAUCCGCCAAACUGGGAAUGAGACACGGCCAAGACUCCUACGGGAGGCAGCAGUGGGGAAUUUUGGACAAUGGGGGCAACCCUGAUCCAGCCAUGCCGCGUGAGUGAAGAAGGCCUUCGGGUUGUAAAGCUCUUUCGGCCGGGAAGAAAUCGCACAGGCUAAUACUCUGUGUGGAUGACGGUACCGGCAUAAGAAGCACCGGCUAACUACGUGCCAGCCGCCGCAGUAA